GGCAGUGAUGGUGGAUGCAGCCGACGGGAUGUCUUGGGGUUGGGGUCGCGACCCUUCCACUCUGCCCAUUGAUCGGAGCUCCAGGUGCUUCUCUCUCCCUUCCCGCAAGAGGCGAUCAAAAAAUCGUGUUGAAACUCUCAACGUUCGAGGACACCAGGUUCGCGAUUGCAACGCAAAAGGGAGCCAGUGACACAACAAACAACUCAAACAAGUGAAACAACGGAUGGACAACGCUCUGUGAAUACAAACAAAACUAGAUCAACGACACUUAGUUUCAUGUUGCCAGGUUCGCGUGUGUUUCGAUUUGUUCUAAUUUCUUGUCAUGAAGAAGCCAAGUGACAUGUUGGUGUUGCCAACAACGAUAAGAACUGGAAAACGCCAUGUCACAGCGUGUGCCAAGAAGAAAAAUGCUACUAGAUUGGAGAGAUUUUGUGUCAACGUUUUGGAGAGAUUGUCAGUGCUUUGAGUUAUGUUGUUACUGCGCUCAAGGCAAGACCUGUGAGCUGAGAAACAACUUUUGGGCACCUGCGAUCUUCAGAACUUCAAUCCAGCUGAAGACGUAAAUGACAAUGACAACAGCGAUCAUGAUCCGUAACUCUCGCACCUCUCCACCUCUCAAGGUAAGGGCUUUUCUUUGUGUUAGGAAUAAGCGAGUAAGACAACGAAACAAGAGAGAUUUGCUGGAGACAAGAAAGCGAAGCUGCUCGCAACGAGCUAGGAUCGAAUGAUCAACGAUAAAUGAAAGGCUUGAAUUCGUGUUGAA